rnacentral:tmRNA from 1 species
GGGCUUGUACUGGUUUCGACAGGCCGGCUGAAGAUGGUGAAGCUAUCCGUGGACUGUGACCACGCUAAAACGCAGAUUUUAAAAUUAAACGCUAACAAUAAUAAAUUAGCUUACGCUGCCUAAUUACGGCAGCUGCUGUGCUUAAGUGUCCUACAGCUUAGGUUACAGUAUCAUCCUUUGUAGGGAACCUUCAUCAUUAAGCUUUGCGUGAUGAAGAGAUUUCAUGAAGCUACUGAGUCUGGAGGGUGUUAGUUCCCAACCGGAUAAAGGAAUAUUGAAGAACUGACUAUGAUAGUAGAAGAACAUGGGAUUCCGGUUUGGACGCGGGUUCGACUCCCGCCAGGUCCACU